UACCUGGUUGAUCCUGCCAGUAGUCAUAUGCUUGUCUAUAAGACUAAGCCAUGCAAGUCUAAGUAUAAACAAUUUAUACAGUGAAACUGCAGAUGGCUCAUUAAAACAGUAAUAGUUUAUUUGAUGGUCAAAACCACAUGGAUACCUGUGGGAAUUCCAGAGCUAAUACAUGCAAGAAGACCCAACGCAAGGCGGGUUGUAUUUGUUAGAUUAAACACCAAUGCCCUUCGGGGCUUUGGCGAGUCAUAGCAACUCUCGAACCGAAUGGUCUUGUACCGUCGGUAGUUCAUUCAAAUUUCUGCCCUAUCAGCUUUCGAAGGUAGGAUAUGGGCCUACCUUGGCUUUAACGGGUGACGGAGAAUUAGGGUUCGGUUCCGGAGAGGGAGCCUGAGAAACGGCUACCACAUCCAAGGAAGGCAGCAGGCGCGCAAAUUACCCACUCCUGACACAGGGAGGUAGUGACAAGAAAUAACAAUAGACGGGCUUAUUGGUUUGUCUAAUUGGAAUGAGAACAAGGUAAAAAUAUUAACGAGGAUCCAUUGGAGGGCAAGUCUGGUGCCAGCAGCCGCGGUAAUUCCAGCUCCAAUAGC
rnacentral:rRNA from 1 species